CAAAAAACUAUCAACCGACCGAAUCCGAUCCGGUCCGAGUGUUUUUUGAGUAAUUGGGUCGGUUUGGUUCGGGUCCACGGGUGGUCGGGUGAAGUAAACUGGGUUUAAGUGGAUAUAAUCGGUCGGUUCGGAUUUAGUUUUAGCAUCCGUCGGUGACCGAAACCGACCGAAUGCAGUAAAUUAUUAGGGCCUUUCCUCAGUUCCAACAAGCCCAACCCAGUAUAUUGAACCAAAUCCACACCCAUUUCAGACCUAAUUUAAGCUCCUAACCCUAAUCUCUUCUUCAUAUAUGUGUUAAUUUUUCUCUUCCCUUCAUCUGCGCCGUUUGAAGUCUGAGGUCAAUAUCUCUCUUUAUCCAUUGUCGUCGAUGAAAGAUUAAUCUAAGUUUGUUAAGAAGAGGGAUCGUUUUCUUGAUGUUCCACUUCUUGAGGAGUAAGUCCAUCAAUGCUUUGAGAGUGACAAGCCAAACUCAAUGUCUUUUUGUAAAGACAUAAGGAAAAGACUCACACAUCCCAGAAUGUGAAGGAUCUGAAGAAUAGAAAAAGUUAUGUUUUGGCGGAAAUUUCUUCAUGGUUGAAGGUAUUGGACCUUUGGAUACUAUCUUUAAACCAACAAAGUCAACAUAUCUCUUGUUUUUGGAUACUCUAUUUUGGAUUAGAUUUACCGGGAGAGAAGAAAAUGAGAAUGACAAAGCACUUUCUGCUAAGGACUCUAAUUCAAUAGCAUAUUUAUGAUCUUGUUCUGAUUGAAUUAUGACAUAAAGGUUGUUUUGAGAGAAGACAUCUUCAAGUCUAUUAAAUACCAAAAUAGCAUUUGAAGAGAAAAAAAAAGAUAGUUGAAAAAGUUUAUAAUAAAGAUUAUAUUCAAGAAAUAGCAUAUAAAUUGCAUUAUAGAUAAGCAUCAAGAGAUCACAAACAUCAAAUAUGGACAGAAUAAAUAUUGUGGUAUUUAGACUUGAUAAACAUUUUUAAUUUUCUAAUUUUUAAAUACUAAAAUAUAGAUAACUUUGUUUUUUUAAUGGAAGAAUUAAAUAUAAUA